UACGGGGGGGCGAAGCGUUGUUCGGAAUUACUGGGCGUAAAGGGUGUGUAGGCGGUCUUCCUAAGUCUGGUGUGAAAUCCUCCCGGCUCAACGUGGGAGGGUGCGCCGAAAACUGGGAAGGCUGGAGUGCGGGAUGGGAGAGUCGGAAUUCCUGGUGUAGCGGUGAAAUGCGUGAGAUAGUCAGGAGGAACACCUGUGGUGCUAGACGGCUCUCUGGACCGCAACUGACGCUGAGAC
rnacentral:rRNA from 1 species